rnacentral:rRNA from 1 species
CCUACGGGUGGCAGCAGUGGGGAAUAUUGGACAAUGGGGGGAACCCUGAUCCAGCCAUGCCGCGUGUGUGAAGAAGGCCCUCGGGUUGUAAAGCACUUUCAGUGAGGAAGAACGCCUGGUGGUUAAUACCCAUCAGGAAAGACAUCACUCACAGAAAAAGCACCGGCUAACUCCGUGCCAGCAGCCGCGGUAAUACGGAGGGUGCGAGCGUUAAUCGGAAUUACUGGGCGUAAAGCGCGCGUAGGUGGCUUGAUAAGCCGGUUGUGAAAGCCCCGGGCUCAACCUGGGAACGGCAUCCGGAACUGUCAAGCUAGAGUGCAGGAGAGGAAGGUAGAAUUCCCGGUGUAGCGGUGAAAUGCGUAGAGAUCGGGAGGAAUACCAGUGGCGAAGGCGGCCUUCUGGACUGACACUGACACUGAGGUGCGAAAGCGUGGGUAGCAAACAGGAUUAGAUACCCUGGUAGUC